rnacentral:rRNA from 1 species
GACGAACGCUGGCGGCGUGCUUAACACAUGCAAGUCGAACGGUGAAAGGGAGCUUGCUCCCUGGAUCAGUGGCGAACGGGUGAGUAACACGUGGGCAACCUGCCCCAGACUUCGGGAUAACGCUUCGAGAGAGGUGCUAAUACCGGAUACGAACUCCUUGGGCAUCCUUGGGGUUGGAAAGUUUUUCGGUCUGGGAUGGGCCCGCGGCCUAUCAGCUUGGUGGUGAGGUAACGGCCCACCAAGGCGACGACGGGUAGCCGGCCUGAGAGGGGGGCAGGCCGCACGGGGACUGCGACACGGCCCAGCCUCCUCCGGGAGGCAGCAGUGGGGAAUAUUGGGCAAUGGCCGAAAGCCUGCCGCAGCAGCGCCGCGUGAGGGAUGACGGCCUUCGGUUUGUAAACCUCUUUCAGCAGGGAAGAAGCGAAAGUGACGGUACCUGCAGAAGAAGCACCGGCUAACUACGUGCCAGCCGCCGCCGUAA